GCACACAUAAAUCUUCUCCAGGCACCCAUAAUCUCUAACAAAAGUGACUCACCAAGAAUCGUAAGCUUCAAUGGCUCUAUGAACCAUAAAAAUUUUAGAAUCAAAAUCUUGAGUUUUUUUUGGAUGAAUAUGGAGAGAAAGUGAAAGAGAUGUUGUUUUUAGUUCACAAGAAUUGAGAAAGAAAGAGUGUAAAUCGAUUCUUAGGUGCAUUAAGAGGUUGAAAUUGGUUGUUCAUGGUGGUUGGUGUAUUGAUGGCAAUGGUAAUAUUGUGAAUACUUGAGGAAGAUGAGAGUGAUAUAGUAAAAUAUGCAUUUUUGAAAAGAAGAAAAAUUUAAAAAAGUGAUGGCAUUUUCGUGAAUAAUCUGAACUUUGGGGGUGAAAGAGACAAGUCAAAGUUCCCAAAAAAAACAUGGGUUAAUUUUGUAUUUGACUUCAAAUUUUUAGUCAUAUUUGCAAAAACUCCUAAUAGUAUUUUAUAGGGCAAUUCUAUUAAAUAAACCAUUUUCAAGUUUUGAUCACAAAAAAAGAUCCCAAGGAGAAAAAUGACUAAUUUUUUUCAUUUAAUAGGUAAAAUGACCCUAAUACUCUAGAUAUAUAUAUAUAAAAAAACUAAAAAAUAAAUAAAUUUUUUUAUAGUUUAAGAAUAUAUGUUUUCAAAUUCCAACUUUUUUAUAAAUUUUUAUUUUAUUUUAUUGUUUUUUAAAUUUUUUUUUCUAAUUCUGUUUUUGUAAUUCGAAAAUACUUUUUGAAACUUUUUUCAAAUUUUUAAUAUUUAUUUUUUGUUUUAUAAAAUUUUAAAUCUCAAUCUCAAAUCCCCACCCAUUGACUCUAAACCCUAAUGUUUGGAUUAGUUAACCCUAGGGGUAUAUGUGUAUAUUUACCUCUUUAUUGAAACAUUUUAGUGAUUUUGAUCAUUAGAGUCUAUAUUUGUGAGAAAAACGUUUUUAGAGAUAUCCUAGAGUAUUUCCCUAUUUUAUAUGUACGAUCAUAUAAAUAUAUCAUAUUAUUAUAUUUUAAAAAAUUUAAAUACUAUUAAUUUUCAUAUAAUUAAUAGUAUUUUAUACGUACGAUCAUAUUUUUAUUUUUAUUAUAUAUAUUUAAAACAUGUUUUAAAUAAUUGCAAUUGGAAAAUAUUUUAGUAAAUAUUUUUGAAUAUAUGGAUAUUUUUAAUCAAUUUUUGAUAUAAAUUAACUUUAAAUUAAUAUUUUGAUUUGAAAUAUGUAUAUAAAUUUUAAAUUUUGUUUUAUGAUUAUUUUAGACAAAUGAUGUUUUUAGUUAAUUAGAUUGGACUAUUUUCGUAUAUUUUAAUGCUAGUCCAAAUAUAUACUUUUUGAAUAAUAUAAUAGACUUCUAGUUUUUUUUUAAUAAAAUAAUCUCACUACUUAUUUUUUUUUAAUAUUGUUAUCUAUGUUUUCAAACAAUAUUAUAUUUCUUUUUUUUAUUGUUAUUUAUGUUUUCAAACAUUUUCUAAAUGUACUUCUACUAAAAUAGAUGCGAUGAUACGUUCAAGUUCAUGGUAUAUAAUUUGUGAUCCUCAUUAAAAAAUUUCUUAAUUUAACAUGCCUUAUGUGCAGAUAUCAUUCAACGAGGUAACGAACCUUAACU
rnacentral:lncRNA from 1 species